UACGUAGGGGGCUAGCGUUGUCCGGAAUCAUUGGGCGUAAAGCGCGUGUAGGCGGCCCGGUAAGUCCGCUGUGAAAGUCGGGGGCUCAACCCUCGAAAGCCGGUGGAUACUGUCGGGCUAGAGUACGGAAGAGGUGAGUGGAAUUCCUGGUGUAGCGGUGAAAUGCGCAGAUAUCAGGAGGAACACCCAUUGCGAAGGCAGCUCGCUGGGACGUUACUGACGCUGAGACGCGAAAGCGUGGGGAGCAAACAGG
rnacentral:rRNA from 1 species